AACACCUCAACCUCCUCUUGUUUUUUCAAAAGGAGGGUGGACUUGAGCUAUCCCAACAACCUUCACCGGUAGGCGGGCGGCUUGAAAUGCAGGUGCAGCUGGACUUUUAUCUGAGCUAAAAGCAUAUCUAUUUAGUCCUCGUCAAACAGGAUUAUUACUAUUGCUGCAGCUAACAUAAAGGAUAAUUGUCCUCAUUGCUGACUGAUGCAGGAUUUUACGACACUUUAUGUGUUGUUCAAC
rnacentral:misc_RNA from 1 species